AUUAAGUUGAUCAUGGCUCAGGCAUGAGGCGUAAGGCGUGCCUAAUACAUGCAAGUCGAGCGAAUGGAUUGAGAGCUUGCUCUCAAGAAGUUAGCGGCGGACGGGUGAGUAACACGUGGGUGACCUGCCCAUAAGACUGGGAUAACUCCGGGAAACCGGGGCUAAUACCGGAUAAUAUUUUGAACUGCAUGGUUCGAAAUUGAAAGGCGGCUUCGGCUGUCACUUAUGGAUGGACCCGCGUCGCAUUAGCUAGUUGGUGAGGUAACGGCUCACCAAGGCAACGAUGCGUAGCCGACCUGAGAGGAUGAUCGGCCACACUGGGACUGAGACACGGCCAGACUCCUACGGGAGGCAGCAGUAGGGAAUCUUCCGCAAUGGACGAAAGUCUGACGGAGCAACGCCGCGUGAGUGAUGAAGGCUUUCGGGUCGUAAAACUCUAGUUGUUAGGGAAGAACAAGUGCUAGUUGAAUAAGCUGGCACCUUGACGGUACCUAACCAGAAAGCCACGGCUAACUACGUGCCAGGCAGCCGCGGUAAUACGUAAGGUGG
rnacentral:rRNA from 1 species